rnacentral:rRNA from 1 species
CAAUAGCGUAUAUUAAAGUUGUUGCAGUUAAAAAGCUCGUAGUUGAAUUUCGGGUCCCCGCGCUCGGCGCUCCAUUGUGCCGUCGUGGUGUCCCUCCUCGCCGUAAGGCGUCCUUUACUGUGAAAAAAUUAGAGUGUUCAAAGCAGGCAAUCGCUUGAAUACAUUAGCAUGGAAUAAUAAGAUAGGAUCUUGUCUAUUUUGUUGGUUGCGGACAACGAUAAUGAUUAAUAGGGAUAGUUGGGGGUGUCCGUAUUGAGCUGUCAGAGGUGAAAUUCUUGGAUUUGCUCAAGACGAACUACUGCGAAAGCAUUCACCAAGGAUGUUUUCAUUAA